UAAAAAUUUUUAUAGUUUGAAAAAUUUAUUUAAAGUUUAUUUUACAUAUAAAUUUUAGUGUUAAUUUUAAAUUUAUUUUAAUAAUAAUUUAUUAGUUAAUGUAGUAAUUAAUAUUAAAUAUUUAAGAAAUUAAGAUUUAGUAAUAUUUAAAUUAAUAACUAAUUUUGUGCCAGCAGUUGCGGUUAAACAAAAAUUAAAUUAAAUUUUAUUAGUGAAUUAAUAUAUAUAUAAUUUAAUUAAUUUAAAUUUUAAAUUAUUAGGUGAAAUUUUAAUUUAUUAUAAAAUUAAAUUACAUUUAUGAUUUAAUAAAUUUUAUUAAAAACUAGGAUUAGAUACCCUAUUAUUAAAAUUUUAAAUUUAAAUACUAAAAUAGUAGAUAAUUAUUUAUUGAAACUUAAAUAAUUUGGCGGUAUUUUAGUUCAUUUAGAGGAAUCUGUUUAAUAAUUGAUAAUCCACGAAUAAAUUUACUUAAUUUACAAUUUUGUAUAUCGUUGUUAAAAAAAUAUUUUUUAAUAAUAAUAAUAUUUUAAAAUUUAAAAAUAAAAUUAAAUCAGAUCAAGAUGCAGAUCAUAAUUAAGAAUAUAAUGGAUUACAAUAAAUUUAUUUAGAUGAAUAUUAUUUUGAAAUAAAAAAUUGAAAGUGGAUUUAAAUGUAAUUUUAUUUAAUUAAAUAAAAUGAUUAAAAAUUGAAAUAUGUACAUAUUGCCCGUCACUUUCAUAUAAUUAAAUUGAAAUAAGUCGUAACAAAGUAGAGGUACUGGAAAGUGUUUCUAGAAAGAA
rnacentral:ncRNA from 1 species